rnacentral:rRNA from 1 species
CGGUAAUUCCAGCUCCAAUAGCGUAUAUUAAAGUUGUUGUGGUUAAAAAGCUCGUAGUCGAACCUUGGGCCUGGCUGGCCGGUCCCCCUCACCGGGUGCACUGAUCCAGCCGGGCCUUUCCCUCUGUGGAACCCCAUGGCCUUCACUGGCUGUGCGGGGGAAACAGGACUUUUACUGUGAUAAAAUUAGAGUGCUCCAGGCAGGCCUAUGCUCGAAUACAUUAGCAUGGAAUAAUAGAAUAGGACGUGUGGUUCUAUUUUGUUGGUUUCUAGGACCGCCGUAAUGAUUAAUAGGGACAGUCGGGGGCAUCAGUAUUCAGUUGUCAGGGGUGAAAUUCUUGGAUCUACUGAAGACUAACUACUGCGAAAGCAUUUGCCAAGGAUGUUUUCAUUGAUAAGGAACGAAAGUUAGGGGAUCGAAGACGAUCAGAUACCGUCGUAGUCUUAACUAUAAACUAUGCCGACUAGGGAUCGGACGAUGUUAUUAUUUGACGCGUUCGGCACCUUUCGAGAAAUCAAAGUGCUUGGGCUCCAGGGGGAGUAUGGUCGCAAGGCUGAAACUUAAAGAAAUUGACGGAAGGGCACCACCAGGGGUGGAACCUGCGGCUUAAUUUGACUCAACACGGGGAAACUCACCAGGUCCAGACACAGUGAGGAUUGACAGAUUGAGAGCUCUUUCUUGAUUCUGUGGGUGGUGGUGCAUGGCCGUUCUUAGUUGGUGGAGUGAUUUGUCUGCUUAAUUGCGAUAACGAACGAGACCUUAACCUGCUAAAUAGCCCGUACUGCUCUGGCAGUUCGCUGGCUUCUUAGAGGGACUAUCGGCUCAAGCCGGUGGAAGUUUGAGGCAAUAA